rnacentral:rRNA from 1 species
CAGUCGCCGCGGUAAUGCGAAGGGGGCUAGCGUUGCUCGGAAUUACUGGGCGUAAAGGGAGCGUAGGCGGGUCGUUUAGUCAGAGGUGAAAUCCCGGGGCUCAACCUCGGAACUGCCUUUGAUACUGGCGACCUUGAGUAUGGGAGAGGUGAGUGGAACUCCGAGUGUAGAGGUGAAAUUCGUAGAUAUUCGGAAGAACACCAGUGGCGAAAGCGACUCACUGGCCCAUUACUGACGCUGAGGCUCGAAAGCGUGGGGAGCAAACAGGAUUAGAUACCCCUGUAGUCCCUGUCUCUUAUAC